AGUCGACGUGCAAGCAACGUGUGCAUGGCAUCAGGAGCACAGAAGGACGCGCCAAAAUGCUUUCAGUUGGCGACGUGCGAAGGAUCUGUGCAUCACCAGGAGGGCAGAGGACGCACCAGAAUUUUUCUUAGCCAACACUUUGGUUCCUGAGGAGUGUGCGCUGUUCUGCAUGUGGUGCACGGAUGGUAUCUUCCCUGCAUCCGGCCAUGAUGGUUUUUCCUCAGCGGUGCACAGCCUGCGUCCAAACCCCACAGACAGCGAACGUCGGUGGAAGCAGAUGACGUCAACCCGAUGUCGCAAUUAGCAGCGUGCUCCCGAGAUCCGCCGUUAUGUGCUCGUCGGCGACGGUUCGCGCCAUCCCUGCAACCCUGAUCAAGGACGGUUGUUUCCGGCAGCAUGCCCACGGGACCCACAGGCAAACAUUUGCCGUGAACCCAUACUCAGUGUCUUCAUGGCUCCUGUCUACGGGCGGAACAAGGACUUCCUUG